UGACGGCUGGUUCCGGUCGGCACCGCCGUGCCCAGUGAGGUCCGUUAUGUGGAGGACCUUUGGCUUUUCAUCCUCACGCACGCUUGUGGAGGCUGAUAAUAUUCUCCUUUUAUACAGAUCAGAAAACUGAGUUGUGAGAGGCAGUAAGUGCUGGUCCAGAGUUAGAGCUCAGAAUGCUUGAACUUCAAAGUCCUUUAAAGCUCUUAGCUGAUACCAUCCAAGCUUCUGUCAAACCAACCCAAAUGAAGAUGAGGACUCCUAGGAUUAUUCCAGAGAUCUCUACAAGCUCUUGAAGUUUCUGCUCCUCUAGCCACACAAUAAAUGAUUUCAAUACUUCCCGCAAAGAAAAGAGACCUGAGUCUGUGGAACAGAUAUUCCAGCAAAGCAGUUUUCAUUGAAGUGGUCUUCAAGCAUUUCCAUGAUCUGUGAGAGUGGAAAGAAGAGAAAAUCAAGAGGGACAUGGGUCUCCUGAGCAAUGAAUAUUCUGUCUUUUAGAUCUGGGUAGCACGGUGCUUAAGUAAACCUGAUUAAUAUA